AAUUCAAUUCCGAGCUCGAAGAUGAAGGCCAAAUAGUUCAUAAAGUACGUGUCUCAAAAAUAUAUAUUUAGUAUGUUUAGGGUGUUGGCUUUUGACUUCAGAGAAGAUCACCACGUUAGAAUGUAUUGAUAAAUGUAUUGUGAUAUGAGCAUUUGAAUGUACUCUGAAAGAAAGACGAAUAUGCCUCCUUGAUAACAGCAACCAAAUGUUCGAUCAUCGAGUUUGACAAUAACAAUGGAUUGUUAUUAAACUCCAAUAUUCGAUAGUACUGGAACAUUCGAUGUCGAAAUGGAAGGACAUUAUUUUGUGUCUCUUAUGAUUAUGUUCGAAAUUUUAUCGACAGUUGAUGCUUUUUGCGAUGCGCCCUCCCCAGUAGCAGCUACCCAUCACAAUGGCACUCUAGCAGUCUAUAAGACUGGAGAUACCCUCUACUUCACCUGCAACUCUGGUUAUUCUACAAACUAUCAGCCACCUUCAUCAACAUGUCUAGCCAGUGGCAUUUGGAAUCCACCUGAUUUAGCUUGCGAACUAAAUACGACAUCACUUAUCAUCUCCAUUAUAGUAGCCGUCAUCACCCUCUUCGUUUUCUUGAUUAUAGUCAUAUAUAUCUUCAGAAGAAAGCGAAGCCAAACGCAUGUUUCAUCUCCGAAGAUAAUCAGAAGAAGUCCACAGUUUCCGGAAUAUCCACCUGGAAACAUCGAAAUGUCCAGACCAGGAUCGUUAUACGACUCCAUCCAUAUUAACGUAGAUCAUGUAGAUAGGAACGCUAUUAAUGGCGCCAUCACCGGUAUGGAAGGGAUCAGUGAACAGUCUGACGGUUUGGAGAAUCCCAGUCAUGCAAUAGACAAUGGAGGAAUUGACAUUAUAGAUGCCGAUGGCCUGAAUAUGACAAGGGCACGCGUCGCCGAUAGGAGUCGGUCACGUGAUCAUGAAUACACGAAUGGCACCCAGAGCGAGAAGCAAUCCACGUGAAAAUACAGCGAAACGCUACAAAUUAGUUUUAAGAAUAAAUAACAAGGAAACUAUAUAAAAGAACUAAGAAUGAGAAUGUUCUGGUAAGAUCAGUAUAAUGAGUACAUGCAUACUCAGAUUGUUGUUGAAAUGUUGAUGUAAUGAGGGACACGUGAUAAAUUGCAUAUUUGCAAAUGGAAUCCGAAGCGGUGUUCUCCUAAACAUCUUUGAUAAAUAUAGCUGGAACGAACGCUUAAUGGAGUUUUCUGGAGUAUGCACAAAAUAAAAGUUCAUUUUAAUGUGUAGUAUCUUUUGAUUAGGUAUCUUUCACUUUUAAAGGUCAAGACCACCCCAGAAAAAUGUUGAUUGGAGUCAAUAGAUAAAAAUAAAAAAAGAAUAAGGCUGAAAAUUUCAUCAAAAUCGGAUGUAUAAUAACAAAGUUAUGACAUAAAGUUUCGCUUAUUUUAUUUUCAAAUUUGACAAUAAAGAACAGCUUGACUGAACUAUAAAAUGGAGGAAUAAAACUUGCUUCACCUUCCAACGAGGAGAAAAAUAGAAUAUUCCAUAUUUCAUAAAAAAAUAAGAUACAAAAGAAAUAGUGAGUGGAGUGAGUGAUGUCAUCAGUCCCCUCAUUUGCAUACUCAUGACUGCUUUGUGAAAAUAAGCAAAACUUUAAAAUGUCAUAACUUUCUUAUUAUUACAUCCGAUUUUGAUGAAAUUUUCAAUGUUAUGCUUGUUGGAUUUUUAUAAUUCUGUUGAAAUCAACUGUUUGUUAGGGGUGGACUUGUCCCUUAACUAUCUAAAAGAUUCAGCCUAAAUUAUAUUACUCAUUCACGCAUUUAAAUUAACAUAGACCAACGAGUUUUACCAACGCGCUCGAUUUAAACAAAAUAUUUGUGCGGACAAAGGACAAUGCGGGAUGAAAGUUAUUCACUUCGCUCUAACAAGAUGGUAUUUUAUAUGAUAUACACAUGCAUAAAUAAGUUCAUAUAUACAUAUCUAUGUUUACACCCACACUCGCAGAUGUAUAUAUAUUAUGAUAUACGCUCUAAAAACAAAUUAUGAGUAGGGGUAAACCUCGGUGUAAUGGUCCACCUGCACUCCCCUAAUUAGUUAUAUCGAGAGGAGAGACCUGCGGGUCUUAGUGAUUCAGUUCGCUUUUCACCUCCCAGGCACAGGUGACGCCAAACAAAUAAUAAUAAUAAUAAUAUUCAAAGUUACUCAAAUUUUUGACGUUCCUUACGUCUCCAUUUGGAGUGAAUAACAAUGAUCAGAUCAAUCAAUAUUCAAGAGUCAUUACGGAGAUUUAAUCGCAAUUUUCUACAGAAAAUGUACAUUUUAAAAAAAAAUUCAUGUUAAUAGAGAAUGAAGAGAUAAAAGGAUAGGAGGAGAAUAGGCGGAUUUAGAAUGAAUAUAAUUCAUUGUGAUAUUUGAAGAAAGGAAUACAACGCAUAAUUAAUUUUAUAUUUUUUGUAGUAGCGUAGACCUAAACCAUAUUUAUACUUUAUAAAGUGAAAUAUACUAAUUGUAAAAAUAAAAAAAAUCAUAACAAUGUAGGAUAAUCAUAAAAAAGAAUCAUACUCAUGCUUAGUAUUUAGUGCUUUUAGUAUUUGUCUCAUCUUAUACCAUAUGACAAUGAUUCUUUAAUCAAAUCGAAAAAAAGCUUCAAAGAAAUAAGUAACAAUUAAGCAAUAACCUUGUAAAAGCUUUCUUUUGUGUGUUUUCGGGCCUACAGCAGUGGCAUACUUAGGAUUUUCCACAGGGGGGCAAAUUCGUCCGCCAAAAAAUUUGACAUGCAAAAAAAAAAGGUCAAAUAAAGGAUUUCUAACCAGAAAAAAUAUUCAC